GACAGAGGUGGCGAGCGUUGUUCGGAAUUACUGGGCUUAAAGGGCGAGUAGGCGGUGGAGCAAGUCUGAGGUGGAAUCUUAGGGCUUAACCCUAAAACUGCCUUAGAAACUGCUUUACUUGAGUCAGUGAGGGGAGGGCGGAAUUCCUGGUGUAGCGGUGAAAUGCGUAGAUAUCAGGAGGAAGGCCUGUGGCGAAGGCGGCCCUCUGGCACUGUACUGACGCUGAGGCGCGAAAGCGUGGGGAGCAAACAGG
rnacentral:rRNA from 1 species